rfam:Schistosoma margrebowiei strain Zambia genome assembly, scaffold: SMRZ_contig0001459
GCACUGCUGAGGAGUUUCACGAUAGGACGAAACGAACGUCCAGUGC